GGGGAAUCUUAUUGUUUAAUGAAAUCAAAGCAUCGCGGGUGCCGACGCCAUGUAUCUUCUGCCCAGUGCUCUAAAUGUCAAGGUGAAGAAAUUCAAUGAGAUACCUGAGGAGAAUGUGAAGAUAAGAAAAGGUCAAUGAGAUCAGAAAAGCCAAUUAUCUGCCCAGCACACGUGUGGUAAAGACGGCAAUCAGAGCCGCUCUGACCUUCACAGGCAAACAAAGUGGCCAAAAGACUUAAACACAUUUAAUGAACAGA